UCUCGAUGCCAAGCCCUCGAAUCCCCCCCCGAAUCUUAGCCAUCGAAGCACGCCAGCCCUCCCGAACCUCCAUUUUGCCCCCAAGCCCUCGAACCUCUCAGCCCUCAUUCCCUUCCUUCAGCCUCCCGAGGAGAUAAGUCCCGUAGCCGUCGGUCCCUCAGUCCAUCAACGAAGCCCUCAAUCCCUUAGUCCACCAACGACGAAGCCCUCGGUCCCUCAGUCCACCAACGACGAAGCCCUCGGUCCCUCAGUCCACCAACGACGAAGCCCUCGGUCCCUCAGUCCACCAACGACGAAGCUCUCGGUCCCAUCUCAAUCCACUUACGUGAAGCCGCCCUCAGUCCACCGACGCGAAGCUGCCCUCAGAUCUUUGGGAGAGUUACGAGAGCAGCAGCCGGACAACUACUGAUUUCUUAGGACUCAAGAUAUUCUGGCUGUAUAUCCUUUGCAUGAUUAAAUAGUUGCACGAGAAUCAAGCAAUAUGAAAGGCAAAUAAACUCAAGACGAAGCUGGAUUGGAUAUUAUUUUGUUGUGAUUUGUGCUGUAAUGUUCAUUCAGUUAAUAUUUUUUUGAAAUGUUGUAAUGUUUGUAAGACAUUUUGGAAUGUAACUUUGAAUGUUACUUACAAAAACAUGUUUAUAAUUUAAUUGUUUACAUUGCA